GACGAACGCUGGCGGCGUGCUUAACACAUGCAAGUCGAACGGAAAGGCCCUGCUUUUGUGGGGUGCUCGAGUGGCGAACGGGUGAGUAACACGUGAGUAACCUGCCCUUGACUUUGGGAUAACUUCAGGAAACUGGGGCUAAUACCGGAUAGGAGCUCCUGCUGCAUGGUGGGGGUUGGAAAGUUUCGGCGGUUGGGGAUGGACUCGCGGCUUAUCAGCUUGUUGGUGGGGUAGUGGCUUACCAAGGCUUUGACGGGUAGCCGGCCUGAGAGGGUGACCGGCCACAUUGGGACUGAGAUACGGCCCAGACUCCUAAGGGAGGCAGGAGUGGGGAAUAUUGCACAAUGGGCGGAAGCCUGAUGCAGCAACGCCGCGUGCGGGAUGACGGCCUUCGGGUUGUAAACCGCUUUCGCCUGUGACGAAGCGUGAGUGACGGUAAUGGGUAAAGAAGCACCGGCUAACUACGUG
rnacentral:rRNA from 1 species